rnacentral:rRNA from 1 species
GAUGAACGCUGGCGGCGUGCUUAACACAUGCAAGUCGAACGGUGAAGCAGAGCCUGCUCUGUGGAUCAGUGGCGAACGGGUGAGUAACACGUGAGCAACCUGCCCUGGACUCUGGGAUAAGCGCUGGAAACGGCGUCUAAUACUGGAUACGAGACGUGGCCGCAUGGUCAACGUUUGGAAAGAUUUUUUGGUUCAGGAUGGGCUCGCGGCCUAUCAGCUUGUUGGUGAGGUAAUGGCUCACCAAGGCGUCGACGGGUAGCCGGCCUGAGAGGGUGACCGGCCACACUGGGACCGAAACACGGCCCAGACUCCUACGGGAGGCAGCAGUGGGGAAUAUUGGACAAUGGGGGCAACCCUGAUCCAGCAAUGCCGCGUGUGUGAAGAAGGCCUUCGGGUUGUAAAGCACUUUAGGUUGGGAAGAAGGUGUGUUGUUUAAGAGACGAUACAUUUGACGGUACCAACAGAAUAAGCACCGGCUAACUC